CACGUAGGGCGCAAGCGUUGUCCGGAAUUAUUGGGCGUAAAGAGCUCGUAGGUGGUUUGUUACGUCUGCUGUGAAAACCUAGGGCUUAACCCUGGGCCUGCAGUGGAUACGGGCAGACUAGAGGUAGGUAGGGGAGAAUGGAAUUCCCGGUGUAGCGGUGAAAUGCGCAGAUAUCGGGAGGAACACCGGUGGCGAAGGCGGUUCUCUGGGCCUUACCUGACACUGAGGAGCGAAAGCGUGGGGAGCAAACAGG
rnacentral:rRNA from 1 species